rnacentral:rRNA from 1 species
CGGGGUGAGUAAUGUAUGGGGAUCUGCCUGAUGGCGGGGGAUAACUACUGGAAACGGUAGCUAAUACCGCAUAAUGUCUGCGGACCAAAGCGGGGGACCUCCGGGCCUCGCGCCAUCAGAUGAACCAUAUGGGAUUAGCUUGUAGGUAAGGUAACGGCUUACCUAGGCGACGAUCCCUAGCUGGUCUGAGAGGAUGAUCAGCCACACUGGGACUGAGACACGGCCCAG